UACGGAGGGGGCUAGCGUUGUUCGGAAUUACUGGGCGUAAAGCGCACGUAGGCGGCUUUGUAAGUUAGAGGUGAAAGCCCGGAGCUCAACUCCGGAAUUGCCUUUAAGACUGCAUCGCUAGAAUUGUGGAGAGGUAAGUGGAAUUCCGAGUGUAGAGGUGAAAUUCGUAGAUAUUCGCAAGAACACCAGUGGCGAAGGCGGCUCACUGGCCCGGUACUGACGCUGAGGUGCGAAAGCGUGGGGAGCAAACAGG
rnacentral:rRNA from 1 species